rnacentral:rRNA from 1 species
AUUGAACGCUGGCGGCAGGCCUAACACAUGCAAGUCGAACGGUAACAGGAAGCAGCUUGCUGCUUUGCUGACGAGUGGCGGGCGGGUGUGUCAUGUCUGGGAAACUGCUCGAUGGCGGGGGAAAACUACUGGAAACGGUAGCUAAAACCGCAUAAAGUCGCAAGAGCAAAGAGGGGGACCUUAGGGCCUCUUGCCAUCGGCUGUGCCCUGAUGGGAUUAGCUAGUAGGUAGGGUAACGGCUCACCUAGGCGACGAUCCCUAGCUGGUCUGAGAGGAUGACCGGCCACACUGGAACUGAGACACGGUCCAGACUCCUACGGGAGGCAGCAGUGGGGAAUAUUGCGCAAUGGGCGCAAGCCUGAUGCAGCCAUGCCGCGUGUAUGAAGAAGGCCUUCGGGUUGUAAAGUACUGUCAGCGGGGAGGAAGGGAGGAAAGUUAAUACCUGUGCUCAUUGACGUUACCCGCAGAAGAAGCACCGGCUAACUCCGUG